AACUGGUUUAAAGGUCCUGCGGUUCAGGUCCAGACGUUGAACGGCUAACGGUGACAAGUUGUCGCCGUUUUAACGCUCGGCAGCGGGAGCAGGACGUGGAGGAACCGCCAUGGACGCUGAUGGCGGAGCUCCGUACGUGGUGGUCAAGCUGGAGGAGGAAGAGGAAGAAGAACCCGGGUCCGAGACGGACCCGCUCAUGUUCGCCCCGCUGGACUUCUCGGACGACGACGACGAGGAGGAGGAGGAGGAAGGAGAAGAAGCGGAAGAAAUGCAGACGACGACGUGGCCGAGCCGCGAGUUCAGAGAUGUGGAAGACCCCUCAAAUCGGCGGUGCAGUAAGGACCCACCUGCGUCAGGAGAAGACAACAUGCCGAGCAGGGCACCAUCGCGCAUGUGCUCUCCGAAAACCUUCCACCAUCGCCUCAGGACGAUGAUUGAGAAGACCAGAUCAGCGAAGCGGGUGGAUGUAGCCGGGCGUGUCCCCGCCCCGUGGACCCGGUCAGAUCCCUGCCCAGCCAUCAGCCCGCAGACUGCAGCAGAACCUCCUGCGUUCCCCACCGUGAGGGACGUGCCCGGUGUUCCUCAGGUUCCUCAAUGUUAAAUGUCCCCAUUCAAAUGAAAUGAGGAGGAAUGGACGAGGUUUGUAAAUGUGAAACCACUUCUCUGGUCGUAGGAGAAGCCCCAGGUCAGAGAGAGACAGGACGACGUCCUACAGGACGUCCUGCACCACUGCAGGGUGAGGUCCACCAGUCUACUCAUUUUCAAAAGUAGGAUGAAAUGUCAAAUACAAUACAUCCCUUCCGGUGUCCCGUGGGUGAAUAUGUCACCGUCCUUCUCCCAGUUGUUGUCCACGGUCCUUCAGAGAGUAGAGCAGAAGAUUGACGGGCUUCAGGCAAAGCUCUUCAACUUAAACAGGCCUCCAGAGGAGCCGCGUUGGUAUUCGGCGAUACGGCGGCUGGAGGAGAAGAUCGACGAUCUGCGGUCCAGAGGCGGAGAGAUUUUACACCGAGGUACACCACGACAGACGAAAAGACAUUUCAUGUCCCCCCUUCCCGCGCCACAGCUGCCCUGGGGGACAUCCCACCUUCCCGGGCUGAAGGGUCGGCAGAGCGGGGCCGUAGGCCAAGAGCGGGACCCUCGAUGGAGGCCACCUUGGAAAGGGGAGUCCUCCCAGCCAGGAGCGGCGGACUAUUUCUCACCAGACGCUGUCUCUGCAAGAGGGAGCAGAGGCCGCGGCAGGGGGAUCGGUAGAGGGCGGCCUGCCAGAACAACGAGGGACAGCCACCAAUGGGAAAAGCCCAAACGGCCCCUGGCUCCCGCGACCGGUGCAGGCCAGCGCCCUUUAAAAAUGUUGAAGACCACAACGGUGGUGUUGGCACCAGUGCCGUCUGCAAACACACUCGCCGCCACCGGGCCCAUGAAGAACGAUGUCCCGUCCUCUGGAGAGGAACAACAGAACGUGCUGAUUGGAAGCCCCCUGAGGAAGGUGUGGGUCCCUCUCUCGGCCUACCUGAAGGCCUUCAAAGAGGACGAGCCCCGGAAAGCCAUAGUGCCGGUGCUUCACGCAGUCUUCCCCACCAGCGUCCUCGCCACGAGUGGCGUCACCGGCGACCCGGCCAGGGGCGUUCAGGAGCUGAACCCCAACAAACUAGAG
rnacentral:lncRNA from 1 species